rnacentral:rRNA from 1 species
GGUAGCACAGGGGAGCUUGCUCCCUGGGUGACGAGCGGCGGACGGGUGAGUAAUGUCUGGGAAACUGCCUGAUGGAGGGGGAUAACUACUGGAAACGGUAGCUAAUACCGCAUAACGUCGCAAGACCAAAGAGGGGGACCUUCGGGCCUCUUGCCAUCAGAUGUGCCCAGAUGGGAUUAGCUAGUAGGUGGGGUAAUGGCUCACCUAGGCGACGAUCCCUAGCUGGUCUGAGAGGAUGACCAGCCACACUGGAACUGAGACACGGUCCAGACUCCUACGGGAGGCAGCAGUGGGGAAUAUUGCACAAUGGGCGCAAGCCUGAUGCAGCCAUGCCGCGUGUGUGAAGAAGGCCUUCGGGUUGUAAAGCACUUUCAGCGAGGAGGAAGGUGGUGAGCUUAAUACGCUCAUCAAUUGACGUUACUCGCAGAAGAAGCACCGGCUAACUCCGUGCCAGCAGCCGCGGUAAUACGGAGGGUGCAAGCGUUAAUCG